rnacentral:rRNA from 1 species
UACAGAGGGGGCAAGCGUUGUUCGGAAUUACUGGGCGUAAAGGGCGCGUAGGCGGCCUGUUAAGUCGAACGUGAAAUCCCCGGGCUCAACCCGGGAACUGCGUCCGAUACUGGCAGGCUUGAAUCCGGGAGAGGGAUGCGGAAUUCCAGGUGUAGCGGUGAAAUGCGUAGAUAUCUGGAGGAACACCGGUGGCGAAGGCGGCAUCCUGGACCGGCAUUGACGCUGAGGCGCGAAAGCCAGGGGAGCAAAGCGGGG